rnacentral:rRNA from 1 species
GACGAACGCUGGCGGCGUGCUUAACACAUGCAAGUCGAACGAUGAAGCCCAGCUUGCUGGGUGGAUUAGUGGCGAACGGGUGAGUAACACGUGGGCAACCUGCCCCAAACUCUGGGAUAACUCCUCGAAAGAGGUGCUAAUCCCGGAUACGAACUAGACAGACAUCUGUACUAGUUGUAAAGUUUUUCGGUUUGGGAUGGGCCCGCGGCCUAUCAGCUUGUUGGUGAGGUAACGGCUCACCAAGGCUACGACGGGUAACCGGCCUGAGAGGGCGACCGGUCACACUGGGACUGAGACACGGCCCAGACUCCUACGGGAGGCAGCAGUGGGGAAUAUUGCGCAAUGGGCGAAAGCCUGACGCAGCGACGCCGCGUGAGGGAUGAAGGUCUUCGGAUCGUAAACCUCUUUCAGUAGGGACGAAGCGAAAGUGACGGUACCUAAAGAAGAAGCACCGGCUAACUACGUGCCAGCAGCCGCAGUAA